rnacentral:misc_RNA from 1 species
GGAAGUAAAAGUCGCAACAAGGUUUCCGUAGGUGAACCUGCGGAAGGAUCAUUAUUGUAUACCGAGGUGCGAGGGCUGUCGCUGACCCGAAAGGUCGUGCACGCCCGAGUGCCCUCACACACAUCCAUCUCACCCCUAUGUGCACCACCGCGUGGGUCCCCCUUUGGCUUGUUCGGAGGGGGGCUUACGUUUUCACACAAACUUUGUAUGCAGUGUAGAAUGUAUUUUUUGUUUUUGCGAUCACGCAAUCAAUACAACUUUCAACAACGGAUCUCUUGGCUCUC